rnacentral:lncRNA from 1 species
UUCUGAGAUGGAGUCGCACUCUGUCAUCCAGGCUGGUGCCUGGAGUACGGUGGUGCAAUCUCAGCUCACUGCAACCUUUGCCUCCCAGAUUCAAGCAAUUCUCAUGCCUCAGCCUCCCUAGUAGCUGGGACUACAGGCACCUGUCACCAUACCUGGCUAAUUUUUGAAUUUUUAGUAGAGACGGGGUUUCACCAUGUUAGCCAAGCUGGUCUUGAACUCCUGGCAUCAAAAGAUCUGCUUGCUUCGGCCUCCCAAAGUGCUGAGAUUACAUGCAUGAGCCACCAUGCCCAGCCAAAGCAUUUUUAUGAUGACUGCUUUGAAAUCCUUGUCAAAAAUUCCAACAUCUGAUUCAUCUCAGUGUUAAUGUUGGUUGGUUGUCUUAAGAUGAGAUUUUCCUAGUUUUUGGUAUGAUGAGUGAUUUUUACUGCAUCUUUGACAUUUUAGGUAUUACAUUAAGAUUUUUUUUUUCUUUUUUCUGAGACAGUCUUGCUCUGUCACCCAAACUGGAGUGCAGUGGUAGUGGUGCAAUCUUGGCUCACUGCAACCUCCACCUCCCAGGUUCAAGUGAUUCUCCUGCCCAAGCCUCCUGAGUAGCUGGGAUUACAGGUAUGCACCACCAUGUCCAGCCAAUUUUUUGUAUUUUUAGUAGAGACAGGGUUUCACCAUGUUGGCCAGGCUGGUCUUGAACUUCUGACCUCAAGUGAUCUGCCUGCCUUGGCUUCCCAAAGUGCUGGGAUUACAGGUGUGAGCCACCGUGUUAAGGUUUAGUUUGUAGGUUCUGGCCUACUUUUGUGGACUGUAGCUCCAAUGAUAUUUCUUUUCUUUUCUUUCUUUCUUUCUUUUUUUUUUUUUUUGAGACAAACUCUCUCCCUGUUGUCCGGGCUGGAGUGCAACAGCAAAAUCUUGGCUCACCGCAGGCUUGCCUCCCGGGCUCAAGCAAUUCUCCUGCCUCAGCCUCCCGAGUAAGGUAGGACUACAGGCGCACACCACCACACCUGGCUAAUUUUUGUAUUUUCUGUAGGGAUGGGAUUUUGCUAUGUUGCCCAGGCUGGUCUUGAACUCCUGAGCUCAAAUGAUCCACCCACCUCUGCUUCCCAAAGUGCUGGGAUACAGGCAUGAGCCACCGCGUGCAGCCAAAAGUUAUUUUAAAGUAGAGAAGUUCUUGGCACUGUUCCGUACUCUGACAGUCCUGGCACAGGCCCGGUCUCCAGUGAUAUUUAUGACUCCUCAUUUGCUUCAUUUUUCUGGUAUUGCCGGGGCUCCUGUUUAUUCCUGCUGGUGCUGCCUACAGGGGUAGAAGGCAUUUCCCUGGGCCACUUGUUAUCACUGGAGUGGGUGGGGGAGGCCAGAAGAUGUAGGGUCUGGUAAAAUGUCUGAUGCUGGGUGGAGGGCCCAGAGAUCCAGGGUUCUGCUGACAUUGCCACUGCAGGUUGGAUUGGUCUGUCACUGCUCCAGGUAUGGAGAAGGGAUUGGGGCUCCCCACUGGGAGACCCUCUCUGUUGGGCUUCCUCUUUCCGGGUCUUUUUGGCUGGAGAAAGCAAGUUUUUCUUCUACUUUUGAGUGUGUGUUUAUGCUGUCGGCAGAUCUGUGUGUCAGGCUUCUGUGGUGCCCAGUUUGGGUUAUGUGAGUGAUGAAAAGAAAACUCCAGGGAACUCACCAUAGUGUCAGCCUUCAAGUCCUGAGAUGCCUAGUCAGUCACUGCCUUCUUUCCAGCCAUCAGAAUCCUUUUAUGGUUGUCUGUUGAACUAUUUCCAAAAUAUUUAGUUAUUUUUAGAAGGGAAGAACAGAGAAAAGUGAAUUGACAACCUUGUCUAUCACAUCCAUUAAAAAAAAAUGUGGUAUAAGGCACCCAGCAUAAAAUUGACCAUUAGUGACAAUUACUGUGUUCAUAAGGUUGUGUAACCAUCAUUACUAUCAGAAUAUUUUUCUGGUCCAAAAGGAAACCCUAUACCCAUUAAGCAGUCACUUACCAUUCCCUGCUUUCCCCUUCCCCUGGCAACCUCUCUCUGUCCUGCUUUAAUCUACUGUCUCUGUAGAUUUGACUAUUCUGGAUAUUUUAUAUAAAGGGAGUCGUAUAAUAUGUGGUCUUUUGUGACCAGCUACUUUCACCUAGCAUAAUGUCUUCAAAGUUUAUCCAUGUUUCACAUGCAUGAGUACUUCAUUCCUUUUAGUGGCUGAAUAAUCCACUGUACGGACAUACCAUAUAUUGUUUAUCCAUUAAUCAGUAUGUGGCUAUUUGGGUUGUUUCCACCUUUGGCUCUCAUAAGCCCCAGCUCCUGGCUGACAGUGUCUUUUGAAGCAAAAAAGUUUUAAAUAUUGCUGAUGUCCAAUUUAUCUAUAUUUUUCUUUUGUUGCUUAUGUUUUUGGUGUCAUGUCUAAGAAACCAUUGCCAAAUCCAAGAUCAUGAAGGUUUACUCCUAUGUUUUCUUCCAAGAGUUUUAUAGUUUUUGCUCUUACAUGUAGGUCUUUAAUGCAUUUUGAGUUAAUUUUUGUAUACAAUGUGGGAUAGGAGGCUGGGUGCAGUGGAUCUUGCCUGUAAUCCCAGCACUUUGGAGAGGCUGAGGCAGGAGGAUCACUUGAGGUCAGGAGUUUGAGACCAGCUUGGUCAACAUGGUGAAACCCCGUCUCUACUUAAAAAAAAGGCUGGGCAUGGUGGCUCACGCCUGUAAUCCCAGCACCUUCGCAGGCCAAGGUGGGUGGAUCACCUGAGGUCAGGAGUUCGAGACCAGCCUGACCAAUAUGAUGAAACCCC